GUUACAGACAAGAGUAUAUGUAAAUUGGCGUUAGAGACCAGUUGGUGCUAUGGCGUUAGCUGGUACUACGAUAUUGGAGAACACAAAUGCGUUUCUUACACCUGGGGUGGCUGCGGGGGGAACGCCAACAAAUUCGACAGCGAAGAGGCGUGCAGCCUGGCUUGCGAUGGCGUUUAACGUAAGGCGACAAAG